UCCCGGACGUAGAACUUGCGACUAGGUUGUGAAGUCUGUGGAAAUGGUGGCUUACAGCAAAGCAGACUGGUGUGCUAAAUAACUUCGUUGCAGGCAUCUGAACAGCAGUGGAACGACUUUCGACCUGGACCGUGAAAGGUCUGGUCCUAGUGUGCCUUUCCACAUGACUGGCUUCUGCCUGAGGCAAGCGAAGUCUGGUUUCAGCGAAG
rnacentral:lncRNA from 1 species